UUAACGAAUUUGUGAAGAGAAGUACCGGAGAGCACAAGUGAGUUUGGCUGCCUUGUCAAACUCUUGGUUUUCUCUUGCUUUCAGGAUUUGGAACAUGAAAGCAAGGCGGAUUUGGGUGUUGGCACUCUGCUGCAUUAUGAGGUUAGUCUCCUUUCGAAGUUGUUCACAUUCCAAUUCAAUCGCUACAAAUUUUCCUCUUACUUGUCUUUGCCCCUCUUUGAUCUUUUUUUGUUCCUUUCUUAUUUCUUCCAUAUCUGACCUUAGCCUUCUCAUGCGGGUGUUGAGGUUUUUCAGCCUUUUUCUCUUCUGACAAAAAGAUUAAAUUGCAUGUAAGAGUGAGCAAGUUACAGAUUUCAUUGCUACAUAACAAACUAAUAGGUGAAGAUCAAAAAAUAUGUUGCAAACCCUAAUUUUUAUUAUAUGGUUUCUUAUAUAUGUUUCAAAUCUAAACCAUCAAGUAAAAGAGUUUUUGAUACAUGUUUAAAGGACUAAAUGUGUGGGAAGAAGAGCACUAAUUACAAGAGAUGUUGAUACACAUUUAAAUAACUACAUAAUUAAAAUGUUGUUAGAUAUAUUAGAGUUUUCUGUUUGAGUUUGUGAUACGUAGAGAAGAACGUGUUGCAAUAAAUAAAACGGAAUACACUAGAGGCGGUAAAGAAGAAGAUUAGAGCAGUCCUUGAAACGUAAGUACUUUUAUGAUAAGUGGUGAGAAAUAAGAAGUAAAGAAAUAGGUGAAGAAGGCGGCGGAGUACAAUAGAUAGAAAGAAUUAAAUAGAGAGAAUAUUUGGAAGAGCUUCAAGAGGGUUUUGAGAGUAAUCUCGGAUGAAUUUUUCAUUUGUUUCCGAAAUUUUCAAACUCCCGUAUCUAUACUAAAUAAAGCUUUCUUAGGAGCAAUUGGUAGAAAGAUAGAACUUUUAGGAGAACACAAUUCUAUAUAGAAGAACGUGCUUAUUAUGGGAAGAACAUGUAAUUGGAUAGCACAUAUAAGUUUUAAGUAGUGAAGUAGCAACACUUAACAAUGUACCACAUUUACUUUUAAGAAAUAAGAAAAGGAUAAAGCACAUGUACUUCAAGUAAUGAUUAAGAGGAAGUACUCUUAACUACCUCUAUAUCUAAGCCACCAAGUCAAACUCUCUAAAGCAUCCCAAGUGUGAAAAUAACUCGUAAACUUUGUUACUUGCUCUGAGUUACUUUCACUCUCUCAUAUGACAUAGCUGCUGCAUAUUUGUUCUUAUUCUGUAAGACAAUACUUAAAACAAAUAAUAGUUAGCCAAAAUAUGACAUCUACAUAAUACGCAUAUUACCUUCUAUGUUUGAUGAGGGUGAUAUAUAUUUCCUAGGUAGUAUAAUGUCUAACAAGUAGAAGGUGUGAGUUUAUGAAUAUAGGUGGUUCAACGUCACAAUGAUCAAUGUCACCAAGUAUAUGCUUCCAGCUCAUGCUUCAUAACAGGAAUUCAAUCAACUAAUAAUGGAGCCAGAGUUUCGAUUCAAGGGUAGGCAAUAUAUACAGUUUAGGCUACAAGUUUAUUUUUAUGUUAUCUAAUUAUUUUCUAAUCUUUUAAACCAGCAAAUUAUUCUAAUAAUUUCGUAUCAAACGUUGUAUGUAAAAGAAAAAACCAACUUGAGUUAUGAAAGUUUCAAAAAGAACUCAUAGAGCACUAAGUCCUUGGAAAAAAAAAAACCCUGGGUGUCUGUGCAUUGUGAAAGACAUCGACAUAAAAUAAAAACUAGAUUCUUAAUUAAGGUAUGAAGUUAGAAGGCAGAGGUGUUAGGAUAGGGCAUACAAGAGACAAAAUCCGAAAAAGGUACCUUGUGGUGGUUUGUAAUGGAAUUUCUACAAAGGGGCGUCAUUGGAAGCCCAAGGUGGUGUGAUUCCUCCAACUCAGCAUUGUCAAAUUUUUGCCCUUCAUGAGUCCUGAGGUAGCAUUGAUUGCACUUUCCUCCCACGACUUUAUAGACAUUGGCAGCAGAUUCGUACGACACUGCGUGUAGUCGAGCGAUGUCGACCCAUUUUUCUUGCCAUAACGCCAGUCAACGUGCAAGAGCUACCGAUCAAGUUGACUGUGGACCUUUUGCACGCGCGUUUGCCAUGGGACCAAUAAAUAACAAGAAGUUACCAAUACGUUUGUCUAAAUAAAAAUCGCAACCCAUCACAUUAAAAAAACAAAAAUCUUAAAUCUAACGGCUGCCUUUUGUCUGUUUUGUUCAUGUGAAUCGUAUUAUCCGACUAGCUGUUGUUUUGGCUACUUUCAUCUUCUGUUAAACUGUGAAUGUACAACGAUAUACCAUUAUUUCUAUCACGUGCUAGUACCGCCAGAAACUGACAAAUCAAAGUAUAAAUAGGUCAGCGAUUUGCAUUUCGUUUUUCAAACAUAUCGCGACCCUUUUGUCUUCCCAGGCACAGGGCGGGCAGAACCAGUCCAGCCAGCAUUCUUGCCUAAUGGGACAAGAGGAGCGGGGCAGACUGUUUUUGAAUUUUCAAGGCUUGUAGCCGUUGUACAUCUGCUAUAGUGAUCAUUUGGGACAGGGGAAAAUGUAUAUAAAUACAACCUUCAUUGUUCCUUUAUAAAUGUCAGGCUUGUGCACAUUUUACACAGUAAAAUUUCAUUUUGGGAGUUGGGAGGUGAUCCGUUCACUGGGUGGGAGGGACUUUAGGUUAACUUAACUAGAGGAGUUGAGUUCAGACCUAACUAAGGCUGGACAAGUGUCCUUGGGCAAACAUCCCGUGACAGAUACACCUCGGGGUUGUCCAUCUCUUUCACUAUGCUCUUCAACUUGUCAAAAUUCUAACUGCUGCCGUUACGCAUAAUCGGAUGAACCCGAAGUUCUUUAAUCUUGUUAAAAGAGCAUUCCAAGACUGUUUUUUUUUUUUAAAGCAAUGCCCAUCAUAAUUCACGCAUGCACCGGAGACGGCAAGGGAGGGAAUCAGAAAUGACUAUUGAGGAGAGACGAACCAAUCUAAAAACAAGAAAAUAGACUAAAUUUCCUCAGUCAAUAUUGAGGCUAGACCCAGCGUUAUGGAUGCUGGACACGGCCUUAAAACGCCACACCCGGACUGUACUUUGAGCACCGACAUGAGCUAGAUCCAGCCUCCCGAGACUAAAUUUCCUCCGCCGUACGUGCCUGGCAUGAUGCAGCUCCGCUUGCUACUGGUGGCUAGACAAAAAUAGAAGAGGGGAGAAAGCUUUUGGCGAGGUGUACGUGUGAUAUAUGUAGACUUUUUUAAGAACAUAAAAACGAUUAAAGAACAACCCUUGAUAGGGGCCCGAGACGGGCAUUAGAGAAACUUCUUAAAGAAGGCCAAAUGUGGGACCGUGAUCACGUGUAUCGCUCGAUUCUUUCAUUUUCGUCUCAAACAUAUUUUGGUAGCUACCACUUUAUGAUGUGAAUUAAGUAUUUAUUAAUUGACAAGCCAAGGGAUGACAUGUUUGAUUACAUUGUCACGAAAUACCUACCACUCGGAAGGAAUCGAGCGAUUACUCGUCUUCCGCAGUCUAAUAUCAGCUGGAUCGACCGACUUUGAUGACGCUGAUCUUUCCCAAUUUCUUAAGCUUCCCCCACACACGGACUUCCGUAUUAUUCCCAGUCACUAGAUUCCUCUUGGGCUCCCUACAUAGAGAAAAAAACUAAUUGAUAAAAGUGAAUAAAUUAAUUGAUAAACGUGAAUGAUUUGAAUUCAAAACUAUUCAAAUUCCAAUAAAUUAAAACCGACACAAUUUGAGCUAAAAAAAUUUGAACCUUACAUGAUUUAGAUCUAAAAAAAUUAGAAUUGUCAAUGAUCAAAGUUCAUUAAAACUUGAAUAUUCAAUUGAAAAGUAAAACUUGUAAUUAAAUGGCUUUAAACUAAAAUAGUAAAUGAACAAACUAUUACAUCUUUUUCUUAAUGAAAUUUUAAAAUUUUGAGAAAAAAAAAUUACUCCCUUGAGUCUCAGGUGUAAUACGUUGUUUGCAUAGCUUUGGUUGUUCCACAUUAAUGUCUUAUUUGGAAAGUCAAAAAAAAAAUUCAUAUCUUUUUUUAUUAUCUUAAACUAUAAUGUGUAAGUCUAAAAACUCAAUCAUUCAAUGUAAAACAGAAACUCAAUCAUUCGAUCUAUAAGAGUCGAGACGGUCAGUAGAUAAACUUCUUAAAGGAUUGUCAGUGACCAGUGUAUCUCACAUGUUUUAUAAUUUGUUUAAAGGGUUAAUUGCUCAAAAAUAUUUGACAUAAAGUUUGAAAAAGAAAACUAUGAAUUAUUUAAAAAAAAUUAAAUAAGUUUUUAUUUUUUAUCAUAUUCAUUAAAGUUUUCAUAUUUUCGAUUUGGAUCAAUAAGUCAAUAUAACUAAUGAUUAACUAAUUAUUAUUAAUUAAAAUAAUAUUUUUGUUUAGAUCAUUUAUCCAUUUCUAUUAAUCAAACUUUUUAAUUUCAAAAAAUUAAAAUAACAUUUAUCAUUUUAUACUCAUGUGGCUCUAAUGUGACACCGACGUAAAUAGUAAAAAUAUCACAUGACCAAAUUAUCAUACCAUUUCAGCAUGCCUCAUCAUUAUUUAUUAUUACAAAUGAUAUUUUGAUUAAUAACAAUAAGUCAAUUAUUUAUUAUAAGUAUUUAUUUAACUUAAAAUAAAAAUAUAUAAACUUAAUUAAAUGUAAUAAAAAAUAAUUUUUUUAAAAAUUUUUCUAAUUUCAAAUAUUAUGCCAAAAUAUUAAUAAAAAAUAUAUAUAAAAAACCCAAUGUUUGUGCCCUUUGAUCAAGAUUCUAGAAACGAGAGACGCAAAGUCCAUAUAUGCGAAACAACCGACCACAGAAGCUGACAUAUAUGAUUACUAUGUCAUGAUAUACCACUCGGGAGGAAUCGAGCGAUUACUCGUUCGUGGUAGUCGAUUGUCAGCUUCAUCGACCGACUCAUCUUUUGGUGGCAAAUUGCACUUUGAAAAAAAGGGCCACUGGAUGACGUCCUUAUCCAGUUGAAGCUUUUCCAAUUUUUUAAGCUGGGAUUUUGCUCCCUACAUCGAGGCGGCAAGAUUUAUCCACUCCCUUUAAUAUUUCAUCAAAAUUGAAUUAUUUCAAUUUUAAAUUAUUAAAAUUCGAAUAAAAUAAACCGACACGAUUUGAAUUUAGAAAAUUUGAACCUGACGUGAUUUAAAUAUAAAAAUAUUAGAAUUGUCAAUGAUCCAAGUUCAAUAAAACUUGAAUAUUCAAUUGAAAAGAUAAAACUUGUAAUUAAAUGGCUUUAAAUUAAAAUAGUAAAUGAACAAAUUAUAACAUUUUUUUCUUAAUGAAAGUUUAAAAUUUGAUAAAAAAAUAUUACUUCCUUGAGUCUUAUGUGUGAUACAUUAUUUGCAUAACUUUAGAUGUUCCAAAUUAAUGUCUUAUUUCAAAAGUAGAAAAAAAAAUCAUACCUUUCUUUCUUAACCUAAACUAUAAAAUGUAAGUCUAAAAACUCAAUCAUUCAAUGUAAAACAGGAAUCAUCAUCAAUUUUUUUGUUUUGUUGAGAUUGAUCACCUAGUUAAAUUUAUUUUUUUUAAUGAGGUUUUAGGCUCAACCUAGGUUCAUUAAAAAGAAUAUAUUUCAGUUUACGAAAUAAUCUAGGUUCAAGAAUACAGUCACAUGUAAUGAAGGUAUUAGUACUUUUACAAUGCCUAUUUAAAUUGGUACCUAACUAAUUGUGUACAAUCUUUUAGCCUUAUUAAAUUCUAAUUCCAUAUUUAAUUUUAUUCUUCCUAAUCGCUUUAAUUAAUGUGUAUGUUUUAUAAGUUGGGAACCAUGAAAACUCGAUAUUCCCAAUAUUUUAGCAAAACUCAAGAAAUUUUACAAAAAAAAAAAACCUUUCUUGAUUUUCUCAACAUGUUGGCAAAAAACAAGAAGUUUUAUGAAAUCUUAUUUGAGUUUUACUAAUGCGUUGGUGAAAGUUGAAAAGUUUUAUAAAACCUUAUUCUGACAUGUUGGUGAAGAUCAAGAAAUUUUUACUAAAACAAAACUCUUUUUGAGUUUUCUCAACUUGUUGAUCAAAACCCAAAAAUUGUGGACAAAAGCCUCUCUUUUUUAUUUUCCUAACGUGCUGGUGAAAAUUAUGAAAUUUUUACUAAAAGAAACUUUUCUUGAUUCUCUCAACAUAUUGGUGAAAAUCGAGAAAUUUUAUGAAAACUAUUUUUGAGUUUUCCCAACAUGUCGAGGAAAAUCCAAAAGAUUUUGACAGAAAACCUUUCCUUGAUUUUUCCAAUGUGUUGGCAAAAUUUGAGAAAUUUUUACUAAAAGAAAACUUUUCUUGAUUUUCUCAAUGUAUUGACAAAAAUCAAGAAAUUUUAUUUUUAUAAAAAAUUAUAUUUUAUUAUUAUAAUUUUCCAAAAAGGGACUAUCUUAAACAACUUUAAAUUUUCAUUCAAGAUUUAUGUUUUAUAAUUUAAACUUACUACAUCUUAUACUAUUCUUUUAUUUAUUUGUUUUUUUCAAACUCUAAAAUUUUUUUCCUAUUUAAACUUCUACAUAAUAGUGACAAAAAAAAUAAUAGUGAAGGAUAUAUAUAUAUAUAUAUAUAUCAAUAUCAUCAUUAAUAAUUGGAGUGACAGUAUCAUUUUUGGGAAGUAAAGGGAUUUAAUUUUUAUAAAUUAUUAUACUCUGAUUAAGUCCACUACUUGAAAAGAGCAUAAGGACUAAUUACAUAAUUUUACCAUAAACUUUAAGCAAAAUCAUAUGAUUUAAAAAUGAAAAUAUACAUACUACUAUAACAGUCUAGUCUUAGUGUUCAUCAACACAAACUUUUAUUUAAUUUUACUAUCUAAAGAUAAAGAUAGUUGCAAACUAAACUUGGAGCAAACGUUGGUUUAGGACUGUGAGUAUUUUGUUUCCAAUGCAUCGAGACUCAUACUCCAAGUCUCGAUAAUCCCUUCAUACAAACCUAGAAUUUAGGCAUUUUCCAACACAUAUGAGGUUCCAACUUGUUAGCUUUUAGCAUCUAAACAUCUCUAAUUAGCAUUUUAGCAUCUAGUUCAACCAAUAUACCAGUGCAUAUCCACAUACAUGCAUUCGUAAUGCAUUUCAACAUGUUAGUUUUGAAAUUGACCCAAGAUUUGAAAUGACAAAAUUCAAUGUUCUAAUUAUUCUUUGGAACUAAAUGUAAAUUAUUUUGAAAUGGAAGAAUUUUUUCCUAAGUGUUUUAAAGUUGUUUGUAAAAAGAAAGAUUCAUUUAAAUGCUUUAAAACGAAAGUUCUAGCAAGUAAGAAUCGACUUCUAAAAGUGAAGCAUCAAUUCUUGCAAAAUGGAAAACUAUAUAUCUUCUUUGUAACAAGAAGGAAUCGACUUAUCAAUAGAAGAACCAUCAAUUCUGAAAAAGAAUAAAGCUACUGGAUUGUGGGAAUUGGCUUUUGAAAGAGAAAUAUAUUGAUUCCUAUGAAGGUAGAAGCAAAUAAAGAGCCAUUGGACAAUGAGAAUCGACUUCUCAAGUUACCAAUGAUCAAUUCCUUGAGCAACAAUGAAGAAAAUUGGGAAAUUUGUUGAAGAGGAAAGGAAAAUAAAAUGAGAAUAUUUAAGUGGGAAAAUCAAAAUUUGAAAUUUCAACUUGCCAUCCAAAAAAGAAGAAGAAUCGAUCUCUAGAGAGAGCACAAAUCGAUUCCUGGCAAAUAGAGAGCAUGAGGCUCAAAAUUGAGACAAGAGGAAUCCACACCUAAAUAGCAAAAAGAUCGAUUCUCUAGAUAUAGAAUGUCCUAGGUAGCAAAAGAAUCGACUUCUCAAAAGAUCACUAAUCGAUUCUUAAAGGAUGGUUGACACAAUUCAAAUGUGCUUAACUUUUGAAAUUUGAAUUUUUCUUUCUAUCUAAUGAGCAAAAUUCAAAGGUGACUAUAAAUACCCUCCAAGAACUUCAUUUUAAAGAGAGAGAGAAGCACACCAAGAAAGAAAAGAGAGAAAAUCUUCAUUCCAAGAGGAGAAAAAGCUUUCAUUCUCAAGCCUACAUUUUUCUCACUCAACAACACUCUCUAAAAACAAAGCAUUCUUUUUUAAGCUUACAUUCUUAGAUUCAGCUCCAUUCUCUUGUACUUACACUUUGUUGAUUAACCUAUCUUGUCAUGAUCCGGUACUCCAUUCGAGCCCGUGACAACCAUUGCGAUGUCUCGAUAGGCAUUCAUUACUCGGAAUGUCAACCGAAACCUCGCAAGGCUCUUGCAUCAAUUUUACGUCUCCCCUAUGACCAACAGUGACUAAAUAUCAUGUUUUAAGGGAAUAUAAACUAUUUUUAAAUAAAAAAAACAAACAAAAAGUAAUUUCUGCCACACAGGGGUAUUUUGGUCAUUUUUACCCAAAAAUUUUGAAACCUGAUGAAAAUACAACAUACUAUCAAAAUAUAUACAUUUCUUAUCUAAAAAUAAUUUUAGUAAUCUAAAUCAUCCAUUUAAAAUGAAAUUAUGGCUAAUCAAACUAAAUAAAAAUAUUAAAUAAAAUAUUCUAUUUUCUUAUAAAACAAUAUUUAUAGAAUCCUGCAUAAAUAAAUUGUCACGACCCAAUUUCCCGGACCAUGACCGGCGCAUGAGCUCAAUGAGCAUAGCUCACUAAGCCCAAGAAAGCCUAUCCAUUUACCUUUGCUUAACAAAUUUAUCAUAUCAUGCAUACACACACACCUUUUCCUGGGUGUGAACAUAGCCAAAACACAAUGGCAUUAUCGAUAAUAAUAUACAUGCACUAUACCAGUCAUGUAUUUAGCAAUUUACAUUGCAUACACAUAUUCACAUUGUUAGAUUGUAUUCACAAUACAAAAAGACCCAUGACUUCCAGCGGAGACAUUUACAAUAAAAGGGAUUACUAUCGAAUGCCAGACACAUACCCAGGAGAUGCACUACGGGGACUCCUCGAUCUAGGGUCCAACAGUCACCUGAUCUGAAAACAUGAAUUUUUAUAAAACGUGAGUACAAUACUCAGUGAGUGAACAAGAAGGGAACAAGCAUACCAUAAGGAAUGUUUAUCGAAAUCAUGAUGCAUUCAUUUUCUCAAAACCAUGCAAUUGUUUUAGCUCCUUUAAACCCCUCAUGUAAACCCCACAUGAGUAAAUCACUUUACAAAAAUCCAUGCUCAACUAUGGUACCAAAGAAAUGGGAAAUAUGGCAAAAACCCACAAGUUAGCAAAAUGGACAGAAAGUUUCUCGCUGUAGCGAACUUCAUUCUCGCUGCAGCGAGAACCAGAACAUCAAGGAAAAAGUCUCAUUUUUCCCUUAAAACAAGUCAUCCUGCUAAAAUAACAAUAGCAACAUGUAACACAUGUAAACUUCCAAAUUUCAACAAAACAAAUGCUUACAUAUUUGCAUUUACAACCAUAUACCCAUCAUCAACAUGCACACCAUCCCAUCAUCAUCAUCAUGCACAUCAUCCCAUCAUCAUCAUCUCAUAUGCAACAGCUUAUGCUAUUGUCACUAGGGGGUGGGAGAUCACGAAGCAUCCCCCCCUUCACUCGGCAAGAGGUGCACUUCACUCCGGAUCACGAAGCAACGGAGCAGUCCCUUCCCUCCUCCUCCAAGCUCUUGGGUGGAGAGUCAUACUUCGCCACAGAUCAUACCUAUCAAAGCACUCAUAGGGUGGAAGAUCACGAAGCAUCCAGCCCUAUAAGCUAUGGAGGCAACAACGGCUUAUGUGCACUCCCACUCACACAUAGCCGGGUCAGCAACGGCUUAUGUGCACUCCUACUCGCACAUAGCCGGGUUCAAAUCAACAUGUAAAGAAGCAUCCAAUGCAUAUUAUCAUAUUGUGAUAACACAUAAACCAUUGUAUAGCACAUUUUCACAAUAUAAAAUCAUUUUACUAAAAGCUUGUUCCCAAGGUACAUUUUCUAAGACAAGUUGGAUAGAAUCUUUCAUAUUCCCCAAAACAAGUUUGAAAUGCAAGUCCACUCACCGGUAUCAAAAAUCCAGAUUCCGGGUGCACUCGGACUAAUAGCCCUCAGGCGCAAUUCCUUUGCCUUUUCCGGACGUCUCACCACCUUGACAAAUAACAAAGUCAAGGAAUUUACUAUAUUGUCCCUAAAUUGAUAUAAAUUAAUUUAAAUUACUAAUGCUUGAUAUGUAAAUGCAAAAAUAUGUCCGAUUACCGCUUAAUCACGGUAUCGAUUAAAUUCGACCGAUCACCCGAUUAAUCGGCGAUUGUGUCCAAAUCACCUCCAAAUUAAUUCAUUUCUCCUCUAAUACCUUAAUUUACCACAUACAUUUAAAUAAAGCCAAAUUCAGCAUUAGAACCCUCACAGUUCCUUAUAGAAAAAUUUGGUCAUUUGGUGCACUAGCAUCGAAUUUUUUUCUACAUAACCGUUUCACCUUAAUUCAUCAUUUUCCAUGCCAUUUUCCUUGAAAUAAAAACAAUCCCCCAUUGAUAUUCAGCCCUCAUGGUUCGGCCAACAAGGAACCCUAGAGAAAUUGAAUAUUUCUUUUGUGUUUUUGUUCAUAACCAUGCUUAACUAUCCCUAAACACUAACAUAGUCUGAAAUCAAAUUAUUCCAACAACAAUUCCUCUUCCAUACCCAUUUUUAAGAAUUGAAUUCAUCAUGAUAACUCAAUAUUCAACCAUGGAAAUCAAGAACAAAAAGCAUGGGUAAGCUAGGUAUCAAGGAGAAUUAAAGAAAUUCUAACUUACCUAGCUUGUUUCCUUGAUUUCUUCACUUUUUCUUUGAAUUUUCACCUAGGUUUUCUUAUUUUUCCCUUUGUUCUUCCUUUGUUCUUGUUGCUGGUUGCCUAGGCAGAAUAUGGUGAGAGAAUUGGGGAUUUAAUGAGCUGAUUUCUAUAGAAAAUAAUAAAAUAAUCAAGCAUGCCACGUGUCACAUGCUUAUUGUCUCAAUUUUUUAACUUUUUGACUUUUUCUUCUUAAUUUUCCACCACAAAUAUUCUGGUACUUAUCCAAUCCUACCACAAUUAAAAUCCCUUGGUCUUGAUAAGUGCUGGGGUGAAAAAUUUACCAAUUUACCCCCGGAGCAAAAAAAAUUACGAUUUUACCCCUAUACUCCGAAAUGUACCGGAAUCACAUUAUUUCUACUUUUCAACCUCAAAUAACACUAAUAUUGAUCAAUAUUAACCAAAUGGGGCAAAAAUUGUUUUAUAAAAAUUCCCGUUUAGUCCUCUAGUGGUAAAAUUACCAUUUUACCCUUGUGUUCCAAAAAUACUGGGAAUCACAAUUUUUCACUGCUAAACAUCAUUUUAUACUCCAAUAAUCAUAAUUAUAUCUCAUAUAAUUAUUCUUGGUCAAAUGUGAUCAAAUCUUGGCUAGAAAUCUCCAUUUAAUCAUCAUAUGGUAAAAUGAUCGUUUUGUCCCUAAUCGGUCAAUUUUCCUGAUAGACUCCAAACUGGACCUUGAACUUCGAAUCACUAUUCUAAGCCAUUCUGUGGGUUUCAAAAUUUUCAAAUUCCUCUUAGAAUUUCUAUUUGAACUAGUUCAAGGCUCGAUUUAACUUAGUUGUACCACUCGGUAUAAUACCGUCUUUUAAUCGAGCUUGACAGGGUCUCACAUUAAUUUUGUAGCGUAAGAGCAAAAUAAAUUCAUAUAUAUAAUAGCACACUAAACUAGGUAUACAAAAAUAUUCUACAAUGAGAUGUAGGCCCCAAAAUAACAAAAAUAAAUACGACUGUAGAACUACGAUUUCUAAGGGUGCAAAUCCAAAAGUAAACCCUCGACAAAAUCAAUUGUCUACAGACUACUCUGAACCUGAAAUGGGUGAAAGAAGGGGGUGAGUUUUUAUAAACCCGAUGAGUAAGCAAAGUUCAUCUAUAACAUCUAAAGUCGAGUAAAUGGAGACAGUUAAAAUCAUCCCAUCAUAAUAUGAUUCAUAACAUUUAAAACUCAUUUCAAUUCAUAUAAAACAAUUUUAUUUCAUCAAAAUAAUCAACAAGGCUUAUGAUUCUCUUAAAAACUUGGCUUGUGCCAAAACUCGUACUCGAUGAUACCUUGUCCCUGGCAUCCUACUGAGUCCGCCAAGGCUGUUAAAUUAACAUAUACACAUAAAACAUGUUUUUAUGUUUAAAAACGUAGCCGUUCCUUGGCAUUGGCUGAGUUUUACCCUCACGUGGUGGUUCGGCAUGAAGUGAACUCUAAACUUACCUUAGGAGAUACCCUCCGCGCCUCUCAUACUAAGGUAAAAUAUAACUGGGUUUACCGUGUCCCUUUAAUAGGCAGGUCCACGGAAACCCGCCCACUGCAGUAAGCUAAUCACUUAUCCCACCAAAUCAAUAAAAAUUUCGACAGCAUGACAUGGCUAAUAUGAUAUUACCCAGCCUGUCAAGGUAAAACAAAACAGUUCAUAUAUUCCACACAAACACAAAUCCAGCCAUUCAUGCCAUCACAUUAUCAUAAGCCAUCAAUUCAAACCAUAUAUCAAACACGAGUAUAUAGUCUUCACUUACUCAAUUUCCAAACCAGUAUUCAAUUUCAAAAUAAGUUAUAAAUUUCAUUUCGUUUAACCAACACUUCAAUUUUAAAAUAUAAUAAUUUACCAUUUAAACUCACUAUUCUUUAAAACAUAAAAAGAAGUAGAAACAACUUUAGAUAGUUAAGAUGAUCGUCUGUUUACUCACAAUAGCGGGAGUUUGGAGUACUCCUAUUCUUGGUCCUCAGGUACGAUAUCUUUACCUUUAUCAGAGGGCUCACCACCUGUACAUAAUACACGACACGAAAUUCAAAAUAUUUGUGCCAAACUGUUAUAAAACUAUUUCAAGCUCUAUAUGAAUGCAUGAAAUUGAAUGAGAAUUGUUCGAAUAAUCACUUAAAGACGGUGUUCUACGUGGGUUCAACUAUGAUCGGACUGAAUUUGUAUUCGACCUAACUCGAACUAUACACUGUUGAAUUAACCAAAACAUCCGAUUCAACUUCAAAUAUAUUCAUUACGCCUUUAAUAUUCCAAAUACACCAAAGUACCUCAAUGAGCCUAAUUGUGACUUAAUUCAUUGUAACCAAAAUUCAUUCCGAUUUCAAACUAACAUGCUAAUCAGUGUUAACACAGUCCAAUAAAUCCAUCUACAUCAUUAGGAAUCAAAUCCAAGUCCAUUUACUAUGAUUUUCUUAUUAUUGUUUAAGUCGUUUACUAAAGGAACUAUACUUUUUGAUAGCCGUUUUCGAUAUCCGAUACCAUAAAUCAUCAAUUACAAGCUAAAUAACAGGAAAUACAAUAAAAUUCGACCAAAGAGGGUUGUUGAAGGACAUGUGAUUUUCUUGCUUGUUUUUCAUGCCAAACAUCAUCAAACAACUAAAAACACUAAGAUAUCAUGACAUCUAGCAAAAUCCAUCAUCAAAACCUCUCUCCUUAUGUUCGGCCAGCAAGUAUUCCCUCAUGAAAACUUGUGUUUAAUCCAUAAAAAAUGAAAAAGAAAGCAUGGGAAAGGUAGAUCUUAAGAUAAAAUUGAAAAAUCUUACCUUUGAUUGUUUUGUUCUUUGAAAUUCAACAAAUUUCUCUUGAAUUUUCCUCUCUAGGGUUUCUUCCUAUUCUUUUCUCUUUGUUCUUUGCUUUGGCGGCCAUGAAGAGUGAAAUGGGAGAGUUUAUGUUGAGUUUAUAAAGGAAAUUAUAAAAAUAUUAAAACUUGACAUGUGUCACCAUGUGAUUGGUGCAUGGUUAAAACUUAACAAUUAAGCAUUUUCCUACCACCACAUGAAAUCUCUUAAUUAUUCAAAGUAUAAAAUAAUAAGAGGUGAAAUUCAUGGGCUUGACAAGUGUUAUGGUGGUGUAAAAUUUCAAAAAUUUCAAUUACGUCCUUGUGGACACGUAAAAUGAUUGUUUUGCCCUUAUGUUCGGAAAAAUGUCGAAAUUAAAAUUUUUCAUUUCUCAAAUUCAAAUCAUGCUCCAAUUAGUCAAACUUGGUCAAAAAUUUUGUCCAACAUUCCAAUUUUGCCCUCGUGUGGCAAAAUGACCAUUUUACCCCUACGUUAUGAAAAUUUCUAAUUUGACUACAAAUUAAUCCUUGAACUUCGAAUCACCAUAUUAAGACAUUCUAAGGUUCAAUAACUCUUAUAUACAUCCCAAAAUCUCUAUUCAAACUAGUUCAAGGUUUUAAUCGACUUAAUUGUACUAAUAGGUACGAUACCGACUUUUAACGAUUCUUCGAGGCAUUCCAGUAUGUAGAUAUGCUAUCAAGUACAUGAAUGACAUGGCAAGUAUAUUAUAGAGCUGGGCUUGACAUAUCUAGAGGCAACACAUUUGUGAUCCAUUGGUGAAAGGUUAAACCUCUUUGAAAAGGUAGAAAGGUUAUUCUUGAGCUUGUGAGAAAGUAGUUUUGUUAUACCUUCAUUGAAAAGGUAAAGAGGUUGUGCUUGAACCUUGAAAAAGUAGUGACUUUGUGAUAAGUUGUGCUUGAUCCUUAAAAGCAGUUGGUUGUGAAGGUUAUGCUUGAACCUAGUUGAACAAGGCAAUUGAUAGUGGACUCAAACUCUUUGUGAUAUAAAGGGAGAGAAUAUAGGCAUUGUGAGGUCGAACCUCUAUAAAUCGUGGCUAAGUUCUUUCUCUUUUCCCUUUAUACUUUGCUUGCUUUAUUUCUCAUCCAUUUACAUUUAUACUCACUAGUUUUUAAGUUUAGCACUUAAAGUUUUCAUCUUUAACUUUGAUCUUAAGAAAGGUGAAAUUUUUAUUUGAAAACCAAUUCACCCCCUUCUUGGUUGUUUAUACCUCAAGCUUUUUUAUUUAACACAACAUAAUCAUAGAAACAUUUCAUCAUAUGCAUUUGAUAUGAACAUAAUCAUCAUACAUUCAUGCAAUACGCAUGCCAAUGAAUGCAAUUAUAAAAAAGUGGUACAUUUGCCCUAAACUAAAGGCUAUAUAGUUAUGUGGUACAACACCCCACAUCAUGGCUUCUAAUAUGCAUGAGAUAUGAUGCCUCACAUCAUGGCCCUCACACAUGUGGUACAAUGCCCCACAUUAUGGCUCCCAUGCAUGCGGUAUAACACCCCAUAUUUGGCUCCAUACUUUCACUUUCUUUGCAACCUUCUUUAUUGAGAUCAAGCUCUUCAAUUUGCUCAUUAAAGAUUACUACAUCAUUAUCAUAAUCUUCCUUUUUAGAAUGAGGGUUAAAAUCAUCAAAUAAUACAUGUAUUGACUCUUCAACCACUAAUGUUCUCUUGUUAAACACUCUAUAGGCUUUAGAGUUAAGAGAAUAUCCCAGAAAAAUUACUUCAUCACUUUUAGCAUCAAAUUUUCCUAAAUUAUCUUUUCCAUUGAUUAAUACAUAACAUUUGCAACCGAAUGGAUGAAAAUAUGCAAUAUUAGGUUUCUUGCUUUUGUAAAUAUCAUAAGGUGUCUUCUUUAGUAUUGAUCAAACCACUACCCUAUUUAUGAUGUGGCAUGAGGUAUUAAUGGCUUCGACCUAAAGAUAUCUAGGUAAAUUAUUCUCACACAACAUAGUCAUAGCCAUUUCUUCUAAGGUUCUAUUUUCCUUUCUACAACACCGUUUUGUUAUGAGGUCUUAAGGAUUGAAAAGUUAUGACCAUAACCAUUUUCUUUACAUAAUUGUUCAAAGCUUAAGUUUUCAAAUUCUUUGCCAUGGUCACUUCUAACAUUUGAAAUAGUCCACCUCUUUCCAUUAUCAGCUCUCUUGCAAAAUGAUGUAAAUAUUUUUAGAGCUUCAUUUUUGUGUGCAAGAAAAUAAACUUAUGCAAACCUAGUGUUCUCAUCAACAAUCACCAACCCAUAGUUCAUUCCACCCAAGCUUGCAAUCCUAAUUAGGCCAAACAAAUCUAUGUGGAGAAGUUACAAUACCCUAAUUAUAGUCACAUUCUUUUUGGAUUUAAAAGAGACUCUCCUAUGUUUACCUUUUGCACAAGCAUCUCAAAGUUUAUUAUUCUCAAAAUUUAGCUUAGGGAGUCCUACCACAAGAUCUAAUGAUAACAAUUUAACAAGUGUGUUUAUACUAACAUGUCCAAGUUUCCUAUGUCACAACCAAGCAUUCUCAUUCUUUCAAGCCACGUAACAUACAUUACUUAAAGACAAUUCAUCAAGAUAAACAACAUAUGUAUUGCAUUGUUUUUGACCCAUAAAGAGCACUUUAUUUGUCUUAGCAUCUGUAACAUGACAAAUUAAGGAUUCAAAAAUGACUUUAAGACCUUUUUCAUAAAGUUAACUAGCACUUAACAAUUAUGCUUAAGUCCAUUAACAAAUUAAACAUUUUAAAUUUAUAAGGAAGAGUUCUUACUGAUUGUACCAAUACCUUCAAUGUAACCUUUUAAGCCAUCACCAAAAGUUACUUUACCUCCUUUCUUUGGUCUUAAUUCUUUGAAUGAUUCCUUGCUACCGGUCAUGUGUCUAAAGCAUCCACUAUCAAGGUACCAUUUCUAUUUUGUUUUGCUCUUGACGUCAAACAUUUUUGUUCAUCCUUGUAGCCAUCAAAUACCAUAAGACAAGAGUUUGUAACCUUAUCAUCUUGAGAAUCAUCAUCACUCCAAGUUGUUAUCAUUUCUUUCUUCUUGGAAUUUCUUGAGACUUUUUCUUGCUUGGGUACUCAUAUUCGGUGUCUUUGGGCAUUUUGUAAUCUUGGCAUAUCAAAUGAUCAUUUGAAUGCUCCAUUUUAGGCUCAUCUCUCUUUAUAGGUUUUUUAUUUCUACAGUUUUUAGUCAUGAACUUAUUGAAUUUUCUAGCUAGCAUGGCCAUGUCUUCCUCACUCUCACUAUCAUUUUUUAUGACUCUUUCUUCUUCCUCAUCUAUGGAUUUAAAGGCAACUUUCUUUUGUUUUACUUCUUUCUUCCUAGGCUCUUCUCUUUCAUUCUCACGCUUAAGUGUCAAGUCAUAAGUGAUAAGGGAUCUUGUAAGUUCUUCAAAUUUGAAGUCAUUUAGAUCUCUAACUUCUUCUAUAGCCAUAACUUUAGGUAUCCAAGUUUUAAGUAGGCUAUAUAAGAUCUUUUUCACUAGUUAGGCAUUUAGAAAGUCUUUCCCUAAAGCCUUCAAACUUCCUACAAUGUUUAUGAACCUUUCAAACAUCUCACUUAUUGAUUCUCUCUCUGGUCUUAGAAAGUUUAUAAUCAUGGAUAAGCAUCCAAUUUUGGAUUCCUUAACUUAGUUAGUUCCCUCAUAUGUGGUCUGUAAAGUAUCCCAAAUUUACUUGGCAUUUUCACACAUAGAGACUUUAUUAUAUUCACUAGCACUCAAAGCACAAAAAAUAGUAUUAUAUGCCUUACAAUUUGUUUGGACUAGUUUUGUAUCUCUAUCACUCCACUCAUUUCUAAGUUUAAUAACUAAUUUUCCUUUUACUAACUUAUAUGGUACAUUAAGGCCCUUUAAUAUCACAUUCCAUACAUCCAAAUCAAUAGAUUGAAUAAACAUUUCCAUUCUAUUUUUCAAUAAGGAUAAUUAUUACUUACAAAGAAAGGUGACUUUUGGACCAAUUGCCCUUCACCAAGUAGGUUGUCAUUACGUCCACUUUUAUCGAUUUAAGCUUCUAUAAUGGAUCUCUCAAAAACGGUUAGACCUACAAAAUUUGAAACCAAGCUCUGAUACCAUUAUUACUGUGGAAGUCUCAAAAAGAAAUAUACCAAGAGGGGGUAAAUUGUCAUUUAAAAAUUCUUUUUAAAACUAAGUAUAAAAAUUAAAACUUUUUAACCCAAAAAUAUUUUCUAGUAUCAAAAACAAGAUUUCAACAAUAAAUUACUAAGCAUAAAAAUAAUAUACCAAAGAAAAAUAUUUUCCUAAGUUAAAUGCUAGCUAUGAAUAAUAAAGUGAAAAUAUUUUCCUAAGUGUAAAAUAAUAAAUCAGUGUAAAACUAUUUUCCUAAGGCAAAUGUAAGCAAUGAAUAAUAAUGCGAAAAUUAAAAAGAGACACAAAUAUUUUAUAGUGGUUUAACCUUUUCGAUACCUACAUCCACUCUCUUAGCAACCAAGGAAUUUCCAAUCCACUAAAAAGAUUUUACUUUUUAACGGGAUCAAGCGAUAACCUUUACUUAAUCGACAAACGAAUUCUUGCUUUUUAAUGGGAUCAAGCGAUAACCCUUACAACAGCUUUUUUACAGGAUUAAGCAAUAACCCUUACAACAAUGGUUUUUCAAAGGCUCAACUACGAACCCACAAAUAGCUUUUCAAGGUUAAGCUAGAACCUUUACAAGAUGAGCACAAGGUAUAACCAAAAUGCCUCUACAAAGGCUGAAUCCUAGAGAUUCUUAGGUAGGUGAAGAGAAGCAAUAUCAACAGGAAUGAAGCAAAUGUAUGGCUUUUCAAAUCUUGGUAGUAGAUUAAGAUGAUGCUAGAGAGUGAGGAUAAGCUUUUUGGAGUCUCUCUAGGGUUAAAAACUUUAUCUCAAGUCUUCCCUUGCUUCCAAAUAGACAUAUAUAGUAAUUUUUAGUUAGUGUGAAGUUUAGAGCCAUUAGAUACAAGUUUGAAUUAAAUAUGAUCAUCGAUAAAGCUUGAAGGUUGACUACAACGCUCCUAGGGUCAACUAUGUUUUUCAAAUUUCUCAAAUUAGGGCUCUAUAGUCGAGUAUAACCUUCCUCUAUUCGAUCCAACUCCCGAGAGUGUGUUUUUUUCAAAUCUGAGCUGCUAUAGUCAAUUAUGCCUUCUCUAUAGUCAAUUAUUCUGUGUAAAGUCAACUUUUUCAUGCCUUUAACUUGUCAAGAUUGACUAUACUUGAGCUAGGGUCGACUAUGUCUGUUUAAAUCUUCAUUUUCUUGAACUUCUAGAAUAAGGUUGACUAUAGUCAUUCCAAGGUCGACUAUCGCUUUAUAUUCUUUAACUUUUGCACUUUUUUGCCUUUGUAUCAACUUGAGCUUCUCUAGGAUCGACUCUUGACUUGUGUCUUAAGGUUUCCUUAGCUUUUUGGCACUUUUUUUCAACUAUUUCUUCCUUGCCUUGUUCCAACAUUCAAGUAACAUUUCAAGGCAAGUUUGUUCUCGUUUUCUUAGCUAAAUAUGCAUUGUUUCAAAGCUUAUAUGAUGUUUUCUAAUGAGGCAUGACUUUUCAAACAAUUAUAUAACUUUAGGGGAUUAGAAACAUAUUUGAGACAAUUUGAAAUGCUAGACAUUAAGUUCAAGAUAACAUGUGAUUUUUGUCAAAUCAAAACAUGAUGUAACUCAAAGUUAAUAGGGUAUAUGCACUGGACCAUACUUAUGAUGAGGGUUAGCUACCUUAUUAUUGCCCUAGAUAGUGAGGGGGAAAUGACACUAUCUCAUUGAUUGGUGAUCCAUCGAAAUGAACUAAGUACUUCUUAAGCAUGAUCCACCAAGUAAUGUGUUUACGAUUUUUUAAAUGAGUUUUGUAAUGAUUUUUGGUUUAAAUUAUGUAAUGAGUUUUAAAGUAUGUUUCUAAGGUAUGUAAUGUGAAAUAAGGACAUUUGGAAAGGUUUCUUGUAGGUAAGUUUUUAAGUUUGAAGUUAAUUGCCUUGGGAAGGUGUUUAUGUACCAUAAAAACUAUAGAUCUUAAAGGAAGUAUUGAUACCUUUAAAUGAGAUAUCGAUACUUGUUCUUUAUACUUGUCUUUAGAAAGGGUUUUAGAAAACUAGUAUCGAUAUCUUCGAUAAAAGAAUUGAUGCUUUCAAGACAAAAUAGGUGCAAGGGACAUUUUUUGUUACAAGUAUUGAUACCUAUAACAAAAGUAUCGAAACCUCCAAUAUGUUUUCUAAAAUUAUGUGAGUUUUUACCUUGUUUUACCUAUAAAUGCCCAAUGCACUUAGAAUUGAUUUGGUGAUUAUAUUAACAUCAAGGAUUUGGUUUCAAAUGAAAAUUACAUGGUUUAAAAAAAAUGUGUAGUUUAUAUAAACUCUUUCAUACUUUUUUGCUCCCUUCCUAUGUUCACUCGCUGAGUUAUAUAUUCACCUCUUUCAAAUUCAUGCUUUUGUUUUUCAGAUUCGAAGGUAACUAGAUCGUAGAUUCUUAAAAGGCCUUCAUUUAACCUUUUUGGUAGGUUUAUCAUUUGGCAUUCAAUAGUCGUAUCCACACCCAAAGUCACUCUAUUGUACAAUAAUAGGUUACUUUGUAUGUGUCAUGUAUCUAGUAAACUAUUGAUGUAACCACCAGGUGACCAAUGGUAUAUAACUUAAGAGAAUGUUGUUCCUAUAUCAAGUUUGAUAUAUUUUGAGUUAAAAUAUAUGUAAUUAAUGGGCUCAUGUCUAUAUGUGAAUAUCAUGGGAUGUAUGGUAUCGUUCAAACAAGUUUAUGAAUGUGAUGCUUGUGUGGGCUUAGUGGACUAUGAUCAUUGGGCCCUUGUGCUAGUCAUAGCCCCAAAUCAGAUCAUGACAAUUGGUUUACUCAAAUGUCAUAUUAGCAUACAUCGUUAAUAAUUAGACUAACAUUAUCAAUUUCGAGAAGUAUAUGUUGGUCCCAAAGAGUGUGCUAUAAGAAGGUGAAUAAACACUUUUGGAAUGACACAAAAUUUUUUCCAAGUAAAAAGCUGAUUAAAAGACUUUGAAAAUGGAAGUUUAAAGCUUGCUGGAGGAAUGAUUUAAGUGCUAAGAGUAAGAAGAAAAUAAAAAAAAAAGUAGACAAAACACAAUGAUUUAUAGUGGUUCGGUCCUUUUGAACUACAUCCACUACCUUGAUAUCUCAAUCAAGGAUUUUCAAACCAAUUCACUAAAAUUAGUGGAAUUUCCAAGCUUCCACCAAGCUUUUUACGAUGGCUUUUCAUAGGCUCAGCCACAACCUUUAACAAUGGUUUUUCUCGAAAUCAACCAAAACCUAAAACUAACUUUUUUAAGGCUAAGUUAGAACCUAUAACAACAACCAAGCUAACCCAAGCUUGAUCUACCCCUUAAAGUGUCUCUCACACUCUAAGUAAACAAGAAAUAGAAAAAAGAUGAAGUACAAUUGAUCACCUAGCUGAUCUAAGAUGUACAAAGUUAAGCUCAAACACUUUUUAAAAUGAUGAGAGUGAAACACAAGUGUAAAGAGAAAUUUUUUGGUCUUUUAAGCUCAAAAUCACUUUGGAUAACUUUUCUAUUUGAUUUUUGACUGUUGGAGAGGCUUUAAAUACUUGUAAAAUCACUUUUGGCCGUUGGAGACAAAAACUAGCGGUUUCUAGCCAUUAUUUUAUCCUUUUGUGCUUAAUUUCAAAAUUUUUGACUGUGAGCUUUUAGUUGGCUAACCAUACUUCUUAGUCGAUUAAGUCUUCUCUAUCUCACAAUCAAAUUCUUUGAUGGUAAGCUUUUAGUUGGCUAACUAUACCUUUUAGUCGAUCAAGUCUUCUUUGUCUUGCAAUCUGCUUUACUCUGUUAAUUGAUUAAAAAAGACUUUGAUUGAUUAAGAGCUUACUGUUGUUAGAGUAACCGGCUUCACCAAUUUUUCUUUGUUUGAUUAAUUCUUCUCUUAGCUUGGUAAUGCUAAUUUUCCAUUUCCCUUAAACAGCCAUGAGAUAUGUUAGUCAUCCAAAGCUUCUUGAAUUGUUCUUCACAAAUUUGGCUACCUUCAUUUUUGGAUUUUAGAUAACUAACUCCCUUGAUUAACCGACUAAGAGGCUUUUGUUUGUAUCCAGUGCCCAUUUAACUAAUUAAAUCUUGUAUUAACCAGUUAUGAUCUUUCUAUCUGUCUCUAGUGUAGCAUCUAGAAUUGCUUUAAUCGAUUAAGGCUAAUCUGUCUUCAUUAAAGCUCUUUCUUCUUUGCUUGUUUAACCAAUUAACCCAUCUUGCAAUUGAACAAACAUCUUGACUUGCUUUAAAAUCCCAAAUAUAUUAAUGAAUUUAAGCUUUCUCUUGCGUACUUAAAUAAUAUAAUUAGACAUCAAUUAAUGGAAAUAUUUUGCUAUCAUCAAAAACAAAUAGAGCAACAUUCUCUAUCUCUUAUUUUUUAUGAUGACAAAACACUCUUAGAUUAAGAGUGCAAUGUCUAUGUUCAAUAUGAAUGAUUCAAAUCUUUAUGCGUAAUGAGUAGCUCCCCCUUAGUCAGUGCAUCUAGUUUUCUUUACAUAAUAUUCAACAAAACCAAAACUAAGCAUCACACAUAUAAUAUUGUUAGGAACCUAAUGGGUCACACACAAAGGUCGCAGUUUUGAUUAAAUUGAGAGUGUGAUGAUUUAAGUUAAACUUAAAUCAAAUUCUAGAUUUUAACUACUAAGGACCUAAUUAAAAAAGUUUAAUUAGGUAUUAGUUAAAUAUUAUAAUUGUUAUAAUAUUAAGGACUUAUUUUGCUAAUUUUAAUAAGUUAAACUUAUAUAUAAAUAUCACAUUAUAGCCACUCUUUUUUUUUGGGAAGGAAACAAAAAAAAAAGGUUUUUCUCUUGAGUGCAGCCACUCUUGAGAAGUUUAUUUUUUUUAUUUUUGAAAAACUUCUCCUUUUAUUCUUUGCUAGAAAUCAAAGAAGAAAAAAGACAAAUUGUUGUCCACUUGCUAGCACAAGCCCAUGGCAUAAAGCUCUCUCCUUAAGAAGGAUCCGUUGCAAUCGUGUGUGCAUCAUUGGAGGCCAAGCGAUUGAGUGGCUGGGAUUCAUUCGCACAAAAUGUGUUCACAUUUUGUCACAAAAAAAAAAUCCAUUUGAUUACGAUAUCACUUGAAAAUGUAUAAUUUUUCUAAUUUUAUGUGGUGCGUAACUUUGCAUUAAACAACCAAGGUAAUUCAAAGGUAGGAGACAUGAUAUUUAUUUUAUUUCAAUUUUUGUUAUUCUGCUGUGUUGACGCUCAAAUCAUGCCGUUCCUAGUAGUGUGGGCUUAGUGGGUUAUGCCCAUUGGGCCCUUGUGCUAGUCAUGGCUCGAAAUCAGGUUGUGACAAUUGGUUUACUCAAAUGUCCAAUCAGUAAUUGGACUAACAUUAUCAAUUUUGAGAAAUAUAGAAAUUCAAUUUUUAUGAAUUAUUGUACAAAGAUUAAGUUUACCACUAAGAAAGAGUACAAGGACUAAUUGCAUAAUUUUACCUAAACUUUAAGCAAAAUUAUACAAUUUAGAAAAGAAAACAUAAAUACUACCAUAAUAAUCUAGACUUAGUGUUCAUCAACACAAAAUUUUAUUUAAUUUUACUAUUUAAAGAUAAAGAUAGUUGCAACCAAAAGUUGGAGCAAACUUUGGUUUAGGACUGCGAGUGUAUAACAACAGAGCUCGUCCCCACCUUUUUAUUAAAUAUAGCAUGUCUCAACGAUCGUGGUUGCAGCAUUCUGUCGUUGAUUCUUUCGCUAUCAGUGCACUAUAACAAGUAGAGAGGGAAAGGUUAAUGUUAGCCAUGGGAUCACGAAGUAUUGAAAACAAGUAAAGACAAGAGUAAAAUUUUGAGGAAAUUAAUCCAAAAUUGACGAAGCUUAAACAAAUUGUACUAGUGAAAUUAUGAAGAGAAGUACCGAAGAGCACAAGUGAGUUGGGCUGCCUUGUCAAAGUCUUGGUUUUCUCUUGCUUUCAAGAUUUGGAACAUGAAAGCAAGUCGGACUUGGGUGUAGGCACUCUGCUGCAUUAUGAGGUUAGUCUCCUUUCGAAGUUGUUCGCAUUCCAAUUCAAUGGCUUCAAAUUUUUCUCUUACUUGCCUUUGCCCCUCUUUGAUCCUUUUUUGUUCCUCACUUAUUUCUUCCAUAUCAUAUCUUAGCCUUCUCAUGCGAGUGUUUAGGUUUUUC
rnacentral:lncRNA from 1 species